UGGAUGUGGACAGGGAUGAGGAGUAUGAUACGAGCAUGUAUCACUUUGGUGAGCAUGUGCCGCCAUCUAGAGAGAGCAAGAGCCUGAGUGAAGCUCACAGACACAACAGCCAGUUGCAGAAGUGGUGCAAGAAAUAGGAUAAGAAACAGGAGCCUGAGCCGAGUCAGCGCAGGCCUGAGCCCAGUGAGCAGGGAGUCUCACAUGUCCCUGCGAGGCAUUCA